rnacentral:pre_miRNA from 1 species
CGGGAGAGCGCAGGAUCCUGGGCUGUGUCCCCCAGCGCUCUGGGAUCUGGGGCCUGCGCUGCUGGAAUCGUGCUCCCGAGGCCGCGGCUCCAG